rnacentral:snoRNA from 1 species
AUGCUGUAAGCUCCUGAGUGUGCAAGGGGGGAGCCAACCUUCAAGAGCUAAGCA